GAUGAACGCUGGCGGCGUGCCUAAUACAUGCAAGUCGAGCGAACGGACGAGAAGCUUGCUUCUCUGAUGUUAGCGGCGGACGGGUGAGUAACACGUGGAUAACCUACCUAUAAGACUGGGAUAACUUCGGGAAACCGGAGCUAAUACCGGAUAAUAUUUUGAACCGCAUGGUUCAAAAGUGAAAGACGGUCUUGCUGUCACUUAUAGAUGGAUCCGCGCUGCAUUAGCUAGUUGGUAAGGUAACGGCUUACCAAGGCAACGAUGCAUAGCCGACCUGAGAGGGUGAUCGGCCACACUGGAACUGAGACACGGUCCAGACUCCUAAGGGAGGCAGCAGUAGGGAAUCUUCCGCAAAGGGCGAAAGCCUGACGGAGCAACGCCGCGUGAGUGAUGAAGGUCUUCGGAUCGUAAAACUCUGUUAUUAGGGAAGAACAUAUGUGUAAGUAACUGUGCACAUCUUGACGGUACCUAAUCAGAAAGCCACGGCUAACUACAUG
rnacentral:rRNA from 1 species